rnacentral:tRNA from 1 species
AUUUAAAUAGCUUAAAAGAGAGAGCAUAACAUUGAAGAUGUUGUUGUAGUAGAAAUACUUUUAAAUA